UUCUCAUGUUUCCUGAAGACAGAGCGUGUUUACACAGGUGAGUUAGUCAAGUUAGUUUAUACAGGUGAGUUAGUCAGGUGAGUUUAUACAGCUGAGUUUAUACAGGUGAGUUUACACAGGUGAGUCAGUCAGGUGAGAUUAUACAGGUGAGUUAGUCAGGUGAGUUUAUACAGGUGAGUUAGUCAGGUGAGUUUAUACAGCUGAGUUUAUACAGGUGAGUUUACACAGGUGAGUUAGUCAGGUGAGUUUACACAGGUGAGUCAGUCAGGUGAGAUUAUACAGGUGAGUUAGUCAAGUUAGUUUAUACAGGUGAGUUUAUACAGGUGAGUUAGUCAGGUGAGUUUAUACAGCUGACUUUAUACAGGUGAGUUUACACAGGUGAGUCAGUCAGGUGAGUUUACACAGGUGAGUUAGUCAGGUGACUUUAUACAGGUGAGUUAGUCAGGCAUGUUUAUACAGGUGAGUUUACACAGGUGAGUUAGUCAGGUGAGUUUACACAGGUGAGUCAGUCAGGUGAGAUUAUACAGGUGAGUUAGUCAGGCGUGUUGGUCAGGUGAGUUGC